rnacentral:tRNA from 1 species
GGGGGUGUAGCUUAAGUGGUAAAGUAUCUGCCUAGUAAGCACAGGCUCUGAGUUCAAAUCCUAUUACCACUU